UUGUAUUAAUAGAGCUUGAUGCAGUAAUUUCAAAAAAUUACCGAGGAAACUUUUUUUCAGUAAAUUGUCUGUUUGUAUUAAUUUCAGUUGUCUUUCGAAUUUUCAAAGAAUAGGUAUCGUUGGAUUGCUUUUCAGCUUGAACGACGUUCCUUCUAAGGAUUUCCGCAACAGCAUUACCAUUUUGGAUUUCUUUUUUUGCUUCUUCUGGAGAACAGCACCGAUGAUUGUGAAAACCAGUUCUGAUUUUAUCCCUUGCAGCUGCGAGAAUCAUUGGGUCCCCUAAGUAUCAUCUGUGAAUAAAAAAAAACAUACUUGUUGAUAGAGGUUAACCCACUUACCUUCAAAAACCGAAUUGGAUGCUCGCCAAAGAUUACGAAAGCAUUGUUUAGCAGCUGACAUUACUAACGUUCUAAAUUCUUUAAAAAAUAUUUUUAAAAACAAGAAAAAACGGUCAAAAGAACUAGAAUUGGUACUGAGGGACUUUAGAAAAGGGAUCGAUAUGUUAAUGAUAUAAUUCUUAUUCUCU